AGUAACCCAUUUUCUCUGGGACCCCUUUCUUCGCAGAGAGCGCUUCUCUUUCUUUCGCCUAUUACACUUCUGCUCUUAACUUCAGUCUGGUGUGUCCGCAUCCUAGUUUUGCAUGGCUGUCAGACAACAAAUCUCGGGUAUUUACCCCAGACAACGACGCUGCUUCACUAGCACCCAUUCCAUCUGGAGCAAGCACACCUGAUUGCCCCAGCCCGGCUCCGAGGAGGCUGGAGAAUUGCAAGCCUUCUAAGGAGGGAAAUUUCUCCAUGCUUGGGAUGGAGCUCAGAGCCUGGGUAGCCCCACACAAUACCCUCCAGCCACAUCUCCUGUAAAUACCCCGUGUCUUUGUGCUACCCAGAGCCCGAGUCUGGCCCCAUGUGCCCGUGUAGGUGUGGAACCCUGCCACCUGCGACACAGGUCUUCGAGGAGUCAAAAAGGGUAACUUCCUGACGUUGCCAUGACAUUUGUAAACUGUCAUGGUGCUGGUGGGAGUGUAGCAGUGAGGAAGACCAGAGUUCGCCCUCGUCGCCGUCUUGGUUUUGGUGGGGCUAGGAAGGAGGGACGCGUCUGCAGCAAAG
rnacentral:lncRNA from 10 species